rnacentral:rRNA from 1 species
GACGAACGCUGGCGGCGUGCCUAAUACAUGCAAGUCGAACGCUUCUUUUUCCACCGGAGCUUGCUCCACCGGAAAAAGAGGAGUGGCGAACGGGUGAGUAACACGUGGGUAACCUGCCCAUCAGAAGGGGAUAACACUUGGAAACAGGUGCUAAUACCGUAUAACAAUCAAAACCGCAUGGUUUUGAUUUGAAAGGCGCUUUCGGGUGUCGCUGAUGGAUGGACCCGCGGUGCAUUAGCUAGUUGGUGAGGUAACGGCUCACCAAGGCCACGAUGCAUAGCCGACCUGAGAGGGUGAUCGGCCACAUUGGGACUGAGACACGGCCCAAACUCCUACGGGAGGCAGCAGUAGGGAAUCUUCGGCAAUGGACGAAAGUCUGACCGAGCAACGCCGCGUGAGUGAAGAAGGUUUUCGGAUCGUAAAACUCUGUUGUUAGAGAAGAACAAGGAUGAGAGUAACUGUUCAUCCCUUGACGGUAUCUAACCAGAAAGCCACGGCUAACUACGUGCCAGCAGCAGCCGCCG